UGGGGUAGGGUUGCUAGCG
rnacentral:misc_RNA from 1 species